GGAGAGGUGGUGGAGUGGUCAUAACACGUUGGUUUUGAAAACCAAAGGCCAUGAGAGUGGCUCGAGGGUUCGAAUCCCUCCCUCUCCG
rnacentral:tRNA from 1 species